AGUCAUGAGUUUGAUCCUGGCUCAGGAUUAGAUACCCUGGAACCUUUGAGUUACGUUCUGGGCGACGAGCGGCGGACGGGUGAGUAAUGCCUGGGAAUAUGCCUUAGUGUGGGGGAUAACUAUUGGAAACGAUAGCUAAUACCGCAUAAUGUCUUCGGACCAAAGAGGGGGACCUUCGGGCCUCUCGCGCUAAGAUUAGCCCAGGUGGGAUUAGCUAGUUGGUGGGGUAAAGGCUCACCAAGGCGACGAUCCCUAGCUGGUCUGAGAGGAUGAUCAGCCACACUGGAACUGAGACACGGUCCAGACUCCUACGGGAGGCAGCAGUGGGGAAUAUUGCACAAUGGGGGAAACCCUGAUGCAGCCAUGCCGCGUGUAUGAAGAAGGCCUUCGGGUUGUAAAGUACUUUCAGUCGUGAGGAAGGGUGUGUAGUUAAUAGCUGCGCACCUUGACGUUAGCGACAGAAGAAGCACCGGCUAACUCCGUGCCAGCAGCCGCGGUAAUACGGAGGGUGCGAGCGUUAAUCGGAAUUACUGGGCGUAAAGCGCAUGCAGGCGGUCUGUUAAGCAAGAUGUGAAAGCCCGGGGCUCAACCUCGGAACAGCAUUUUGAACUGGCAGACUAGAGUCUUGUAGAGGGGGGUAGAAUUUCAGGUGUAGCGGUUCAAUGCGUAGAGA
rnacentral:rRNA from 1 species